rnacentral:rRNA from 1 species
UACGUAGGGUGCGAGCGUUGUCCGGAUUCACUGGGUGUAAAGGGAGCGCAGGCGGGUUGGCAAGUCAUUGGUGAAAUUCUCAGGCUCAACUUGGGGACUGCCAAUGAUACUGCUGAUCUUGAGUACGGGAGAGGAAGACGGAAUUCCUGGUGUAGCGGUGAAAUGCGUAGAUAUCAGGAAGAACACCGGUGGCGAAGGCGGUCUUCUGGCCCGUUACUGACGCUCAUGCUCGAAAGCGUGGGGAGCAAAC